AACGAACGCUGGCGGCGUGCCUAACACAUGCAAGUCGAACGGACUUAAGGAGCUUGCUCUUUAAUUUAGUGGCGCACGGGUGAGUAACGCGUAGAUAACCUACCUUGGACUCCGGGAUAACAUCUCGAAAGGGGUGCUAAUACCGGAUAAGCCCACGGGGACAUAUGUCUUUGCGGGAAAAGGGGGCCUCUGAAUAUGCUUCUGAUCCAAGAUAGGUCUGCGUACCAUUAGCUAGUUGGUGGGGUAAGGGCCUACCAAGGCAACGAUGGUUAGCUGGUCUGGGAGGAUGAUCAGCCACACUGGAACGGGGACACGGGCCAGACUCCUACGGGAGGCAGCAGUGGGGAAUUUUGCGCAAUGGGGGCAACCCUGACGCAGCAACGCCGCGUGAGUGAUGAAGGCUUUCGGGUCGUAAAGCUCUGUCUAGAGGGAAGAAAUGAAUGGAGGUUAAUACCCUUUGUUCUUGACGGUACCUCUGAAGGAAGCACCGGCUAACUCCGUGCCAGCAGCCGCGGUAA
rnacentral:rRNA from 1 species